UACGAAGGGGGCUAGCGUUGCUCGGAUUGACUGGGCGUAAAGGGCGCGUAGGCGGUUUGCAUAGUCAGACGUGAAAUUCCUGGGCUUAACCUGGGGGCUGCGUUUGAUACAUGCAGGCUUGAGUUCGGAAGAGGGUCGUGGAAUUCCCAGUGUAGAGGUGAAAUUCGUAGAUAUUGGGGAAGAACACCGGUGGCGAAGGCGGCGACCUGGUCCGAUACUGACGCUGAGGCGCGAAAGCGUGGGGAGCAAACAGG
rnacentral:rRNA from 1 species